AUGUCUGACCCGAGCUCUUCCUCCUCCGUCCUCACAUGCUACACCCUGAGCCCCGCCUCUUCCACCCCACCCGGACUUCGCCCCGUCCAUUCGCGCACCAGUUCAAAGGGCAGGGCCAGAGAGCCGUGGCGAGUCCUCGGUAGAGGAGAGGAAGGCAAAUGCGGAGUAGAGCAAAUCAAGAAGGUCAGGGGCGAUGGAGGGAUGCAGAUAUACCACGAAGGGAAGAUCUGCCUCACUGUGCACUUUAGGCGCGCGCACACUAGUGAUGGUACAGGAUUGGCUUCUUGGUGGAAUCAGGUGCGCGUCGUCCAUGGUGGCCUGUCGUGGGUGUUGGUGGGUGGCUGGAGGCGGCUGUAG
rnacentral:rRNA from 1 species